UACGUAGGGUGCGAGCGUUGUCCGGAAUUAUUGGGCGUAAAGAGCUUGUAGGCGGUUUGUCGCGUCUGCUGUGAAAAUCCGGGGCUCAACCCCGGACUUGCAGUGGGUACGGGCAGACUAGAGUGUGGUAGGGGAGACUGGAAUUCCUGGUGUAGCGGUGAAAUGCGCAGAUAUCAGGAGGAACACCAAUGGCGAAGGCAGCUCGCUGGGACGGUAUUGACGCUGAGACGCGAAAGCGUGGGGAGCAAACAGG
rnacentral:rRNA from 1 species